UACGUAGGGGGCAAGCGUUGUCCGGAUUUAUUGGGCGUAAAGAGCUCGUAGGUGGUUCGGUAAGUCGGAUGUGAAAUCUCCAGGCUCAACCUGGAGGGGUCAUUCGAUACUGCCGUGACUAGAGGUCGGUAGGGGAGUGUGGAAUUCCUGGUGGAGCGGUGAAAUGCGCAGAUAUCAGGAGGAACACCGGUGGCGAAGGCGGGUCUCUGGGCCGUAACUGACGCUGAGGCACGAAAGCCAGGGGAGCAAACGGG
rnacentral:rRNA from 1 species